rnacentral:lncRNA from 1 species
CUGCAUUGUUAGAUUUGUGAUUCUGCACUGUUCAUUUCAGUACUAUCUAAUAUAAAAAUUACAUGUUUAAAUGUUUUAUAAUUAAAAAUUGGGCUCAGGUUAAAAUAUUUUCUUUUGGAGAUACCUUUUGUUGUGGUCUUGUCACAGGAAGGGUCCUCUACUCUGCAUCCUUCUCCAUUAAGCAGGGACAACUGCAUUAUUGGCAAGCGCUAAGCAACAUGGAGAAGCAGACAUGUUUGUGAAUCGCAAAGUGAAAUCUGAUUCUCUCCAACUAUGGAUGAGUGAGAGUAGGAUAUUUCAGUGGCUGGUUUUAAAACAUGCUUUACUUUUUUGCUUCCUUUGCCUAACAACCUGUUUGCUUUGGGGUUGGCGACAAUUGUCUCAGAGAAGCUGAAUGAAUAUUUUAACCGAUGUAAUGGGUCAUAAGUCUUUGAACAUAAAAUGGGUGUGAUGCAUGUUUUAAAUGCCAAAUGAUACACUUUUGGGAAAAUAUAUGCGAUUUGUAAUACAACACACCUAGAAAACUUCAGAGGUGCCAUAAGUUAAUAGUGACAUCACCGGAUUAUGAAUACUUGAGAAGCAUGGGCCUUUUAAAAGUUGUAUGUGAGUUUUAAGAGGCCUUGAAUUAAUCUGUACCAGACAUAAAUGAGCAUAUUCUGAUGUACUCUUUGGAUCUGAACUCAUCUUCACAGAUGCCUUCAAUUAAGUUGCAGAGUUCUGAUGGAGAGAUAUUUGAAGUUGAUGUGGA